rfam:Ictidomys tridecemlineatus contig025079, whole genome shotgun sequence.
UGUGUUGUGGCUCAGUGGUAGAGUGCUCGCCUAACAUGCACGAGGCACUGGGUUCGAUCCUCAGCACCACAU